rnacentral:rRNA from 1 species
AUUGAACGCUGGCGGCAGGCCUAACACAUGCAAGUCGAGCGGAUGAAGGGAGCUUGCUCCUGGAUUCAGCUGCGGACGGGUGAGUAAUGCCUAGGAAUCUGCCUGGUAGUGGGGGAUAACGUCCGUAAACGGGCGCUAAUACCGCAUACGUCCUUAGGGAGAAAGUGGGGGAUCUUCGGACCUCACGCUAUCAGAUGAGCCUAGGUCGGAUUAGCUAGUUGGUGGGGUAAAGUCCUACCAAGGCGACGAUCCGUAACUGGUCUAAGAGGAUGAUCAGUCACACUGGAACUGAGACACGGUACAGACUCCGACGGGAGGCAGCAGUGGGGAAUAUUGGACAAUGGGCGAAAGCCUGAUCCAGCAAUGCCGCGUGUGUGAAGAAGGUCUUCGGAUUGUAAAGCACUGUAAGUUGGGAGGAAGGGAAGUACGUUAAUACCUGGAUGUUUUGACGUUACCAAAAGAAUAAGCACCGGCUAACUUCGUG